UAGAGCAAGUAGUUAGUUUCCCAAUCCGUUGGUCCUGAAUCUGUUGGUCUUGAUUCUGUUGGUCUUCAUUUCUCCAACGUGUGUGUGACCUUUUUUGGAUCUCUUUGCGGACUUUGGUCAACGUAGCCUCCGUCUUCCUCCCGGGCUCUCGAUCUUCGUCUCUCGAACAACGUGACUAUCCUCUUGGUUCCGCCAAGAUCCUGCCUAGUCUCGGUAGCCUCUCACUUUGCUCGCCAGCACCCUCCGUACCGCAAACUGCCGGCUCUCGAUCUUCGUCUCUCGGCCAACGUGACUAUCCUCUUGGUUCCGCCAAGAUCCUGCUCUCCGUAGCCUCUCACUUUGCUCGCCAGCACCCUCCGGACCGCAAAUUGCCGGCUCUCGGUGAUCGUCUCUCGGACAACGUGACUAUCCUCUUGGCUCCCACUUUGCUCGCCAGCACCCUCCGUACCGCAAACUGCCCCAGAGUAUAUUGAAACUCCGACAACAAACAAAAUGGCGUCUCUAGGCAACUUGUUCAUCACCUUGGCGGUUGGCUUCGCUGCAAUUUCAUCUGUGAAUGGU